GAUGAACGCUGGCGGCGUGCCUAAUACAUGCAAGUCGAGCGAACGGACGAGAAGCUUGCUUCUCUGAUGUUAGCGGCGGACGGGUGAGUAACACGUGGAUAACCUACCUAUAAGACUGGGAUAACUUCGGGAAACCGGAGCUAAUACCGGAUAAUAUUUUGAACCGCAUGGUUCAAAAGUGAAAGACGGUCUUGCUGUCACUUAUAGAUGGAUCCGCGCUGCAUUAGCUAGUUGGUAAGGUAACGGCUUACCAAGGCAACGAUGCAUAGCCGACCUGAGAGGGUGAUCGGCCACACUGGAACUGAGACACGGUCCAGACUCCUACGGGAGGCAGCAGUAGGGAAUCUUCCGCAAUGGGCGAAAGCCUGACGGAGCAACGCUGCGUGAGUGAUGAAGGUCUUCGGAUCGUAAAACUCUGUUAUUAGGGAAGAACAUAUGUGUAAGUAACUGUGCACAUCUUGACGGUACCUAAUCAGAAAGCCACGGCUAACUACGUGCCAGCAGCCGCGGUAAUACGUAGGUGGCAAGCGUUAUCCGGAAUUAUUGGGCGUAAAGCGCGCGUAGGCGGUUUUUUAAGUCUGAUGUGAAAGCCCACGGCUCAACCGUGGAGGGUCAUUGGAAACUGGAAAACUUGAGUGCAGAAGAGGAAAGUGGAAUUCCAUGUGUAGCGGUGAAAUGCGCAGAGAUAUGGAGGAACACCAGUGGCGAAGGCGACUUUCUGGUCUGUAACUGACGCUGAUGUGCGAAAGCGUGGGGAUCAAACAGGAUUAGAUACCCUGGUAGUCCACGCCGUAAACGAUGAGUGCUAAGUGUUAGGGGGUUUCCGCCCCUUAGUGCUGCAGCUAACGCAUUAAGCACUCCGCCUGGGGAGUACGACCGCAAGGUUGAAACUCAAAGGAAUUGACGGGGACCCGCACAAGCGGUGGAGCAUGUGGUUUAAUUCGAAGCAACGCGAAGAACCUUACCAAAUCUUGACAUCCUUUGACAACUCUAGAGAUAGAGCCUUCCCCUUCGGGGGACAAAGUGACAGGUGGUGCAUGGUUGUCGUCAGCUCGUGUCGUGAGAUGUUGGGUUAAGUCCCGCAACGAGCGCAACCCUUAAGCUUAGUUGCCAUCAUUAAGUUGGGCACUCUAAGUUGACUGCCGGUGACAAACCGGAGGAAGGUGGGGAUGACGUCAAAUCAUCAUGCCCCUUAUGAUUUGGGCUACACACGUGCUACAAUGGACAAUACAAAGGGCAGCGAAACCGCGAGGUCAAGCAAAUCCCAUAAAGUUGUUCUCAGUUCGGAUUGUAGUCUGCAACUCGACUACAUGAAGCUGGAAUCGCUAGUAAUCGUAGAUCAGCAUGCUACGGUGAAUACGUUCCCGGGUCU
rnacentral:rRNA from 1 species